UGGAAGGUGCUUGCCGGAGAACACGUGCC
rnacentral:piRNA from 1 species